AAAAGCGGGUUACGGGUCAUUAGGGUUCUAACUUAAAGGAAAUAACGGGUCGUCACUUCACCUUGAUUCACUGAACUGAACAUCAUCUUCCAUUCUUCAUCGUCGACGCCCCAAUUUCCACUGUCGCCGCCGUCUCUGUCUUCGCCGUCGUCUCUGUCAUCGCCGCCGUCUCUGUGGUCACCGCCACCGUCUCUGUAGUCGCCGCCGCCGUCUCCGCCGCCGUAAAUCAUCUCUAUAAACCCCAAGUAUCUUUUUGUUCCAUAGUCAUAUUCAGUUAUUCACGAGAUUUGGGAAUUUGACUACAGCAGAGGUUAGGGAGGAUCAAGAAGUUGAAAUUGUUGAAGGUUAAAUAUUGAUGCUUAGUUAUUAAGAUUGAACAUAAAGACAUAUGUAUAUAGCUUAAAAAGAAACGGGUUGAAUGCUUUAUCACAUAGAAAGAAGCGGAUCAAAUGCUUUUUCGCUUAAAAAGAAACGGGUCGAAUUCUUUUUCGCAUAAAAAGGAACGGGUCGAAUGCUUUUUCGCUUAGAAAGAAACGAGUCGAAUGCCUUUCGCUUAAAAAGAAACUGGUCGAACACUUUAUCACUUAUAAAGAAGCGAAUCGAAUGGCUUUUAUCACUUGAAAAGAAAUUGGUUCAUUGCAGGCAGAAGUGAAUUAUCUCGGGCAAUUUUCACACCCCGAAUCUCAUACAAUUGUUUGGAGGACGAGCAACGACUUUUAGUGUACGAAUUCAUGACUCGUGGGAGCUUGGAAAAUCACUUAUUUAGGAGUGAGUUUGUUAUAUUUCUGGAUUUACUAAUAAAGGAUACAAAGUUAUCAUCCAACCGUUAUCGUGGAGUCUCCGGUUAACGGUUGCUCUCGGAGCUGCUAAAGGACUUGCUUUUCUUCAUGGUGAUGAUCAUUCGGCAAAUGAAAUUAACCUCCAAAGUUCUGAAAACACUUCUCUUUCACUACGUGUAUGUGAUGCGGUUCAUGCGCCUUUGAAUGUCAACCGUCGUACACGCAAGCCUUGUUAUGGAUGGAUUAGUGAUGAAGAAGAUGACGACAAUACUAAGUGAAAACGAGAACCAUCAUUUGAUUGAAGGUAAUCUAGUUGUAAAUCUAAAUGAAAUCCAGAUUUAAAGACUUUGACGAUAUCUUACUUAGUUUUGGCUU